rnacentral:misc_RNA from 1 species
UCCGGUUUGGCACCGGCAGUCUUCCUAGAGUCCCCGCCAUUACGCGCUGGCAACUAAGAACAGGGGUUGCGCCCCUUGCGGGGACCACCCAUCUCUGGGCUUAGCACGGGAUGUCAAGGCCUGGUAAGGUUCUGCGCGUUGCGUCGAAUUAAACCACAUGCUCCACCGCUUGUGCGGGCCCCCGUCAAUUCCUUUGAGUUUCAACCUUGCGGCCGUACUCCCCAGGCGGGAUGCUUAAUGCGUUAGCUGCGCCACUGAUAAGCAUGCUUACCAACGGCUAGCAUCCAUCGUUUACGGCGUGGACUAC